UAUAGAUCGAACCGGAACCUGAACCGGAUUCUUCGGCUCGGUUCGAUUAGGUUCUCGAAUCAGUACAGUGUCGUUUAAUAGGCACCCGGUCAGCGCUGACUUGGCCUCUGUUUUCGUUCGAUUUGUCGAACACACGGAGAGGCAAUCUGCUAUGUUCCUCGAUAUAUCCCGGAUCUGUCUUCCUCCCCCGUUCUUCUUCUCUCUGUCGAACGAUGAUGAGACCUCUCCAUCUCGUUCCCUUCCUCCCCGGUGGUAGUGCGUCUUUAAAGGUAGCUCUUUGAAGUAGGGGCUAUAGAAAAGUUCGGCUUUUGGUAAGAGGAGUUGGGGAAUGGCUAGCUAUACGAAGGGUAACUUCGGUAGGGAGGAGGAGAACCGCUAGUGGGAGAAGGCCGUCCAUCGACGGCGGAAACUGUGCGGCGUCGUCGCCGGGUGUUGGUUUUUGGUAUCUACUGCACUGCUUCGGUUGACAUUCCAUGGGUUGACUCUCCAGUGUAUGAAAUUAACAGGGGAUGCCUUGGCAAAGCAUCUGCGCGCACCAUGUUUGAUGAAGUUAUCGUUGUAUUACUGGCAAUAGGUGUUGCAGGAACUGAGGUGGAGAAAAGAUUGCCAUUGUUGUCAUCAUCAUGGAUGAAAAAAUCUCAACUAUUUUGACUUUGGAAAAAGGGGGUUUUUCUGUAUACAUAUUAGCAUUCAGAAAUUUGCACAAUUUCAGCUGACUUUGCUCUAAUUGUAAACUUUUUAUCAGCAUGGUUAACAGAACAUGCUCCUACCGGAGUGGUUCAGCUGCUUUGGGUAAACUUGGUUAUGGACAAACUUGGAGCACUUGCAUUAACCACUAGGCCUCCUAAUGAUGAGUAAAUGAAGCAAGCUCGGAUUGGAAGGGAAGGCAAUCAUAUAAGCAAUGCAAUGUAGAGGUCGUCAAUUCGAUGAGCUCUAGAGAGAUGGAGAAGAUAGAUGCAUUCCAGGGCAUAGUAAUCGAAUAGCUGUGUAAUUGUGUGUCACUAAUUGCACCAUCAUAUUACAAUCUAUAAAUGUCAAAUUUCUUCGAGAUUUCACAAAUACAACACCAUUGUCAUUCUCGUAGUGAGUGGUAUACGCAUGUUGAUUGGAUUCCUUGGUAUACCCAUUUCUGCCACAGUUAAAAGGAUUCCGAUAUAUUCCAAUCUGAAAAUCCAAAAGCCAAACUGGUGCAGAAGGUAUUGAUUUUAUGCUAUAAUGGCUUCUUUACAUGACUUGUUACAGGUGUUUGUGAAAAAGGACAUAUGAAGCCAGCCAUGAGAAUAUUCUAUGGCAAAUUGGAUUUUAAAUCACUGGUGAUGGUUUGUGGGAGUUUUCCAUGGAACUCAGAUCAUUUGCACUAGGACUAGAUGCAGAGGUCUAACCAUCUUUAAACUGCAGAUUCCUAUUCUUUGGUCAAGAAAUGACCAGUAGAUCACUCUCUUCUUGUUCACUGAUCCAUAAUGGGUCAAACAAGUCUACAUUAGUUCCAAAUAACUCUUUAUUUUGUUCUUCCCUCUAUGCUACCCACAUGUUGGAAGCAGUAAAAAGAACAAAGAUCAAGGAGGUGAUCUUGCAUUUUGCUCCACACACAGAGGAAUUGCAAAGGCAGAAAACAGAAACGAACAAGAUGUGUGUGACAACACUGCAGAGCUAUGUUGGAAGGAUAGAUGCUUUAGUCUUGUUCAAGGUUCACGAGAAGAAGAGGAGGUUUCCUUGUACCUAUGCAUCUUGCUACGUGAAAGUUUCUUUAGUUGCAGCAGAUGUUGGCCAAAGAUGUUCAUUGGUAAAACAAGACAGUAAAAUUUCUGCUCAAGUCUUCUAGUAGAUAUCACUGAAUUCAUUGUUUGGAAAGGACAAGACUCAUCAUCACUGCAUAUACUAGAAGUCCUAAGCCACUGUAUACACCACAAUCAUCACUGCCACCAGACCUGGAGAAGUGUUCUCUUGACCAAGUCAAGAUGGAUGUGCCAUUGUUUUCACAUCGAGUUUGGUAACAUUGAUUUGUUUACUUGCUGCUCCUGAGGAGAGAGAGAGAGAUCCUUGGCUUGCAAAGGUUGGCAGGCCACCAUAUGCAGCAGCCUCUCCUUUAGGGGAGCAGUUUGCUGUGUAAAUUCCAGCUGCACAGGCUUUGUUUUUGACUGCAUCUACAUCAAUCAGGGAGCAAGGAAACCCCACUGCAGCAACACCAGCCAUCUGAUCUGAGAUCAGAGAGUGGUGAGAGACAAGGAUGGGAGACUCACACAUGUUCCUCAGUGAAGGAAGGUGAAAGAUAAUGGCACCAUCACAUGCUGCUCUGGUCAGCAUGCUUACAUAAGAAAAGAAACCCACAGCUGCAGGUGGUAGAAGCUGAGGAUAUAGUUUGGCUUUCUUCAUCACUGACCCCCACCCAACUCUUUUAUCUUAUCUGCUGCUGAAUGAUAUGAAACAUUAGAUCUCAAAGUUGAGCUCCAUGGAUCAAUUUACUUAUCAUAUGGAUAAGAAGCUUUUGAAGUGGGCA